rnacentral:rRNA from 1 species
UACGUAGGUGGCAAGCGUUGUCCGGAUUUACUGGGCGUAAAGGGCGUGCAGGCGGUUUGUUAAGUGCAGAGUGAAAGCUCCCGGCUCAACUGGGAGAGGUCUUUGCAUACUGGCAAACUCGAGGGAGGCAGAGGAAAGUGGAAUUCCCGGUGUAGUGGUGAUAUGCGUAGAUAUCGGGAGGAACACCUGUGGCGAAGGCGGCUUUCUGGGCCUUACCUGGACGCUGAGACGCGAAAGCGUGGGGAGCGAACCGGG